AAUGGGGUGGAGGAAGGAAUCAGAAGAGUAAAGGAAAUAGUGUCUCUUAACAGCAGAUGCCAUCUCAAACUACAAGGAAGAGGUUUGCCAUUUCAGCCUGGAAGAAGCCCUACACAGCUACACCACAUCCAUUCAUUCCCCUUGAACAGAAUCACAGAAUUCACAGAAUAAGCUGAGUUGGAUGGGAUUUACAAGGAUCAUCAAGUCUACCUCCUGGCCAUUCAGAAGAUG